rnacentral:rRNA from 1 species
UAGGGAAUCUUCGGCAAUGGACGAAAGUCUGACCGAGCAACACCGCGUGAGUGAAGAAGGUUUUCGGAUCGUAAAACUCUGUUGGUAGAGAAGAACGUUGGUGAGAGUGGAAAGCUCAUCAAGUGACGGUAACUACCCAGAAAGGGACGGCUAACUACGUGCCAG